rnacentral:rRNA from 1 species
CCUACGGGAGGCAGCAGUGAGGAAUAUUGGUCAAUGGGCGCGAGCCUGAACCAGCCAAGUCGCGUGAGGGAAGACGGUCCUAUGGAUUGUAAACCUCUUUUGUCGGGGAGCAAAAGACGCCACGCGUGGCGUUCCGAGAGUACCCGAAGAAAAAGCAUCGGCUAACUCCGUGCCAGCAGCGCCGGUAAUACGGAGGAUACGUGCGUUUUCCGGUUUUAUUGGGGGUAAAGGGUGCGCAGGCGGAAGAUCAAGGCGACGGGAAACUUGAGGGGUUAAACCUCUUUGGGCCGUUGAAACUGGUGGUCGUGAGUGAGUGAGAGGUAUGCGGAAUGCGUGGUGUAGCGGUGAAAUGCAUAGAUAUCACGAAGAACUCCGAGUGCGAAGGCAGCAUGCCGGCGCUCAACUGACGGUCAUGCACGAAAGUGUGGGUAUCGAACAGGAUUAGAUACCCUGGUAGUC